CCUACGGGAGGCAGCAGUGAGGAAUAUUGGUCAAUGGUCGGGAGACUGAACCAGCCAAGCCGCGUGAGGGAUGAAGGUACAGAGUAUCGUAAACCUCUUUUGUCAGGGAACAAAGGCGGGGACGUGUCCCCGGAUGAGUGUACCUGAAGAAAAAGCAUCGGCUAACUCCGUGCCAGCAGCCGCGGUAAUACGGAGGAUGCGAUCGUUAUCCGGAUUUAUGGGGUUUAAAGGGUGCGCAGGCGGUCUGUUAAGUCAGCGGUCAAAGCCCGGGGCUCACCCCCGGCCCGCCGUUGAAACUGGCAGUCUCGAGUUGGAGAGAAGUAUGCGGAAUGCGCGGUGUAGCGGUGAAAUGCAUAGAUAUCGCGCAGAACUCCGAUUGCGAAGGCAGCAUGCCGGCUCCACACUGACGCUGAGGCACGAAAGCGUGGGUAUCGAACAGGAUUAGAUACCCCUGUAGUC
rnacentral:rRNA from 1 species